CUCGGCAACGCAACUGCGAUGGGCUUCGCUCUAACUCAUCGCCUUUUUGCCGUGCAGGUAGUCAACCUUGCCCUGGCCUGUUUUUCGUCUACCUACGCCCUAACCGGACCCGAAGUACCAAGAAUUCACCGUUCACUCCCCUCGGACUUACCCCCUCUCCUGUCUGAUCCGUCACCAGCAGAACGAUUGCCCGCGCCCUUGCACAGCAGUCCUGUAGUGUGUUCUUCAGAGCAUCCAGUCUGCGCACCGGACGGGCCUCUUGGAUCACAAGCCAGCAGAUCGCCAACAGCAUCAAGCGAAGCGUAAAAAGGGCGCGGCGCGCUCGAACUGCUCUUCAGUGGGCUCGGCAACGCAACUGCGAUGGGCUUCGCUCUAACUCAUCGCCUUUUUGCCGUGCAGUCACUCUCGUCUGGAGUGGUGCCGCAGGACUGGAAGACAGCGAGAGACUGGAAUGAUCUGCCUGAAGAAGCAGCGGACCACUCCAGUGUGACUGCAUUCAGGACUGCCAUCGAACGCAUUUUCCUUUGAAGCAGCCCACCCCUCAUGUAAAAC